ACGAACGCUGGCGGCGUGCUUAACACAUGCAAGUCGAACGGUGAAGGGGUCUGCUUUUGUGGGCCCUGGAUGAGUGGCGAACGGGUGAGUAACACGUGAGUAACCUGCCCCCUUCUUCUGGAUAACCGCAUGAAAGUGUGGCUAAUACGGGAUAUUCUGGGUCUGUCGCAUGAUGGGUCUGGGAAAGAUUGCGCCUUUGGGUGUUUUUGGUGGGGGAUGGGCUCGCGGCCUAUCAGCUUGUUGGUGGGGUGAUGGCCUACCAAGGCGGUGACGGGUAGCCGGCCUGAGAGGGUGGACGGUCACACUGGGACUGAGACACUGCCCAGACUCCUACGGGAGGCAGCAGUGGGGAAUAUUGCACAAUGGGCGCAAGCCUGAUGCAGCGACGCCGCGUGAGGGAUGGAGGCCUUCGGGUUGUAAACCUCUUUCGCCAGUGAAGCAGGCCUGCUCCUUGUGGGUGGGUUGACGGUAGCUGGAUAAGAAGCGCCGGCUAACUACGUG
rnacentral:rRNA from 1 species